UGCCGACGACGCUGGCGGCGUGGAUAAGACAUGCAAGUUGAACGGUUGAUACAGGGUAGCAAUAUUCUGUGUUAGCAGUGGCGUAAGGGUGCUUAACACGUGGGUAAUCUGCCGCGAAGUGUGGGAUAACUCGCUGAAAGGCGAGCUAAUACCGCAUGUGAUUUUCUUGAGGCAUCUCAGGGAAUUCAAACAUGGGUUGCAAGACNUGUGGUUUCGCGAUGAGCCCGCGGCCUAUCAGCUAGUUGGCGGGGUAAAGGCCCACCAAGGCUAAGACGGGUAGCUGGUCUGAGAGGACGACCAGCCACACUGGAACUGAGACACGGUCCAGACACCUACGGGUGGCAGCAGUCGAGAAUUUUUCACAAUGGGGGAAACCCUGAUGGAGCGACGCCGCGUGGGGGAUGAAGGGCUUCGGUUCGUAAACCCCUGUCAUUGGCGAACAAGUGUUACGUUCUAAUACAGCGUGACUUGAUAGUAGCCGAAGAGGAAGGGACGGCUAACUCUGUGCCAGCAGCCGCGGUAAUACAGAGGUCCCGAGCGUUGUUCGGAUUCACUGGGCGUAAAGGGUGCGUAGGUGGUUGGUUAAGUUUGAGGUGAAAGCUCCGAGCUCAACUCGGAAAAUGCCUUGAAGACUAUCUGACUAGAGGAUUGGAGGGGAGAUUGGAAUUCUCGGUGUAGCAGUGAAAUGCGUAGAUAUCGAGAGGAACACCAGUGGCGAAGGCGAAUCUCUGGACAAUUCCUGACACUGAGGCACGAAAGCCAAGGGAGCAAACGGGAUUAGAUACCCCGGUAGUCUUGGCUGUAAACGGUGCGCACUUGCUGUGAGCGGAUUCGACCCCGCUCGUGGCGUAGUUAACACGAUAAGUGCGCCGCCUGGGAAGUACGGUCGCAAGAUAAC
rnacentral:rRNA from 1 species